rnacentral:rRNA from 1 species
UACGUAGGCGGCAAGCGUUGUCCGGAAUUAUUGGGCGUAAAGGGAGCGCAGGUGGGACGGUAAGUCCGUCUUAAAAGGCAGGGGCUCAGCCCCUGUAAGGGAUGGAAACUAUCGAUCUUGAGUGCCGGAGAGGAAAGCGGAAUUCCCAGUGUAGCGGUGAAAUGCGUAGAUAUUGGGAAGAACACCAGUGGCGAAGGCGGCUUUCUGGACGGCAACUGACACUGAGGCUC